AGGACUAACGCUGGCGGCGUGCCUAACACAUGCAAGUCGAACGAAGUAGCAAUACUUAGUGGCAGACGGGUGAGUAACACGUAGUCAACCUGCCCUUCAAUGGGGGAUAACUAGCCGAAAGGUUAGCUAAUACCGCAUACGAUCUCUGAGUGGCAUCACUCGGCGAUGAAAGGAGUAAUCCGUUGAAGGAGGGGACUGCGUCCCAUUAGUUAGUUGGUGGGUAAUGGCCUACCAAGACUCCGAUGGGUAGCUGGCUUGAGAGAGCGACCAGCCACACUGGAACUGAGACACGGUCCAGACUCCUACGGAGGCAGCAGUGAGGAAUUUUCCGCAAUGGGGGAAACCCUGACGGAGCGACGCCGCGUGUGGGAAGAAGGCCUUGGGUCGUAAACCACUGUCGAGGGGACGAUAUUGACGGUACCCCUGGAGGAAGCCCCGGCUAACGUACGUGCCAGCAGCCGC
rnacentral:rRNA from 1 species